rnacentral:rRNA from 1 species
UGCGAAGGGGGCUAGCGUUGUUCGGAAUUACUGGGCGUAAAGCGCGCGCAGGCGGCUAUCCAAGUCAGUGGUGAAAGCCCGGAGCUCAACUCCGGAACUGCCAUUGAAACUGUUUAGCUUGAGGACGAGAGAGGUGAGUGGAAUUCCCAGUGUAGAGGUGAAAUUCGUAGAUAUUGGGAAGAACACCGGUGGCGAAGGCGGCUCACUGGAUCUUUUCUGACGCUGAGGAACGAAAGCUAGGGUAGCGAACGGG